rnacentral:rRNA from 1 species
GACGAACGCUGGCGGCGUGCUUAACACAUGCAAGUCGAACGGAAAGGCCCUGCUUUUGUGGGGUGCUCGAGUGGCGAACGGGUGAGUAACACGUGAGUAACCUGCCCUUGACUUUGGGAUAACUUCAGGGAACUGGGGCUAAUACCGGAUAGGAGCUCCUGCUGCAUGGUGGGGGUUGGAAAGUUUCGGCGGUUGGGGAUGGACUCGCGGCUUACCAGCUUGUUGGUGGGGUAGUGGCUUACCAAGGCUUUGACGGGUAGCCGGCCUGAGAGGGUGACCGGCCACAUUGGGACUGAGAUACGGCCCAGACUCCUACGGGAGGCAGCAGUGGGGAAUAUUGCACAAUGGGCGGAAGCCUGAUGCAGCAACGCCGCGUGCGGGAUGACGGCCUUCGGGUUGUAAACCGCUUUCUCCUGUGACGAAGCGUGAGUGACGGUAAUGGGUAAAGAAGCACCGGCUAACUACGUG